AUGUUUGUUGUCCCUCAGUCAGAGAGCCGUGUCUCUGUACAGUCAGAGGUUUUUGUACGGCGGUUCAAUGAGUUUGUAUCACUGUGGUACACGUUCGGUGGAGGAACCAGACUGGAAGUUAACUUGGGUCAAGUCCGUCCCACCCUGACGGUGCUGCCCCCCUCCACAGAGGAGCUGCAGCAGGGGAAGGCCACGCUCAUGUGUCUGGCCAACAAGGGCUUCCCCUCAGACUGGAGUCUGUCCUGGAAGGUGGACGGCAGCAGCAGCAGCAGCUAUGAGGACAGCAGGAGCCCCGGGGUGCUGCAGAAGGACGGCCACUACAGCUGGAGCAGCACCCUGAGGCUCUCUGCAGACCAGUGGAGGAAGGUGGGCUCUGUGACCUGUGAGGCCACCCAGGGCUCCCAGUCUCCACUCUCAGAGACACUGAGGAGAGACCAGUGUUCCCAGUACUGACAAGACUCAUAGGGACUCUCAUUCUGGUUUUCUUCUGUUACUUUCUCUCUUUUUAAAUGAUUUUUUUUUUCUGUUUUUCAUAACUUAGUGAAUGAAUUCAUGUUUUCAGAAAAUAAAGAUGUUUGUUUUCAACUCAUCUUA